rnacentral:rRNA from 1 species
CCAGACUCCUACGGGAGGCAGCAGUGGGGAAUAUUGCACAAUGGGCGCAAGCCUGAUGCAGCCAUGCCGCGUGUAUGAAGAAGGCCUUCGGGUUGUAAAGUACUUUCAGUCGGGAGGAAGGUGGUAAGGUUAAUAACCUUAUCAAUUGACGUUACCGACAGAAGAAGCACCGGCUAACUCCGUGCCAGCAGCCGCGGUAAUACGGAGGGUGCAAGCGUUAAUCGGAAUUACUGGGCGUAAAGCGCACGCAGGUGGUCUGUCAAGUCGGAUGUGAAAUCCCCGGGCUCAACCUGGGAACUGCAUUCGAAACUGGCAGGCUGGAGUCUUGUAGAGGGGGGUAGAAUUCCAGGUGUAGCGGUGAAAUGCGUAGAGAUCUGGAGGAAUACCGGUGGCGAAGGCGGCCCCCUGGACAAAGACUGACGCUCAGGUGCGAAAGCGUGGGGAGCAAACAGGAUUAGAUACCCGCGUAAC